AUGAAAUUUGCCUAAGGUCUCUCCGCGCUGUGGGCUCCGCUCCGACUCCACGUUGUUCACUAAGAGAAGUGGAAAGGUUUCUAUCUACCUACUGGAUCCAACCAGAGCCCAGUCCUGGAGGUAGCCUUGUAAGGAGUAAUCUUACUUCAAAACCCAGGCAUCAGUAUUUGGAAGAACUGCUGAGAAAAAGGCUGUCUGGGGAACUUCUCAUGGUGGUAUGAAAACCAAGUGAGAUGAUCGUUACUGAGACUGAAAGUAUUGCACAUAUCGAGCCCUGAUUGAGUGCAUUUCACCCUCAAGAAAACCUGAAAUACCAUGGAAAUGUCUACCAUUCCAACAUCAUGACUGAUCCCGCUGGAGGAACCAACUCUUAGAUAACCACUAACCUUGGGCAUUUGUGAAGAGGAACACCUGCGGCAGGGGCAUAAGCCCAGUUCUACUAUGAUACAAUCUAUAUCACGCUGCUGUGCUGCUAGAACAAACCAAUGCAUAUUGUCUGUCAAAUAAUAAAAAAGAAAAAAACAAAGGGAGCUGGUCGGCCAAGACACGUGCACCUUGAGGCAGGGAAAGUGCCCUUAUACACUCAAUCACGCUGAGG